rnacentral:lncRNA from 1 species
AUGCCCGGCUCCCUCCCGGCUCCCCCCAGGGGCUGCCCGCUCCCUGCGGCUAUCAGCUCCCCGCAGGCAGCUCAGCUACCCCAGGACCACCCCUGGGUCCCCUCCCCGGUGCCCUCCGUCCCCUCCCGGCCCCUCUCCGUGCUCCCCCCGGGGGCUUCCCUCUGCCCCCCGGCCGGCCCCGGCCCCUCGCCUAGACUGGAGGGAGGCGGCGCCGGUGGCGCUCGGGGCGGUGCGGCCGGGGAAGGGGCGGGGGCGUCGGGCUGGGCUGGGCUGGGCUGGGCACGGCUCGGCACGGCUCCGCACGGCUCGGCACGGCUCGGCACGGCUCGGCACGGCACGGCUCGGCUCGGCAGCGCGGUCCCCGGAGCCGCAGGUAGGUGCGCACCCGUGCGCCCCGCACCGCGCGCAAGGCUCGGGCACGGUUUGGCACGGCUCGGCCGGGCACGGCCACGGCUCGGCACGGCUCGGCACGGUCGAUCCGCAGCUCUCCCGGCUCCGGGGCAACCCCCGGAGGUGCCACGGGUGGGCUCGAGUGGCCGUGGGGGGCGUUUUUGGCCGGCGGGGGCCGGCGCGGCGGCUUGUUGCGCUUGGGGGCCGAGUUGGUGCCGGAGAGCUGCAAGUGGCUUCAUUUUCCAGGAAUGCGAGUCAUUUCCUCUGGCCGGUCGCAGGGAGUUGAAAUUUAACAGCGGCGGGGCUGCUCCGCCAACCCCCCGCCCGCCCCGCUCCGCUCGGCCCCCGGGACCCCUCGCCCGGGGCUGUGCUCGGCCCUGGGUCCUGCCCAUCCGUGGGACCCCUGCCCCUGGGUCACGCUCGCCCGUGGGCUGUGCUUGUCUGGGGGUCCCAUCACCCGUGGGUCCCAUCACCCAGGGGUCACGGUCACCCGUGGGUCCCAUCGCCCAGGGGUCCCAUCCUCACCCGGUCCCCUCACCUUGUCCGCGGGUUACACUUCUCCAUGGGACCCUCCACCCAUGGGUGCUGUUGGUACCCUCACCGUGGGGCCUCUUGGCCAUGGAUCGUGGCCUCUGGGUGCCGCUCACCCAUGGGUGGCCCUGCUGUGGGUGCCGUCACCCCACGACCUGCUCAGUCCCAGGGGAGGCUGCGUGGCCAGAGGGGCACCGGGGCGGGUGGGGACACGGGGGUGCCAUGGCACGGAGCUUGGUGGCACCCAGCGCACCCGAUAGCACCACUACGGCUCAGUGCCAUGGGGAUGUGAACCCCCAUCCAUGA